AACGAACGCUGGCGGCGUGCUUAACACAUGCAAGUCGAGUGCGCGCCCGUAGCAAUACGGGUGGCGCACGGCGCACGGGUGCGUAACACGUGGGUAACCUGCCCUUUAGUGGGGAAUAACCUCGCGAAAGCGAGGCUAAUUCCGCAUAAGAUCCGCAAGGAUGAAAGCCGUAAGGCGCUGAUGGAGGGGCCCGCGCACGAUUAGCUAGUUGGUAGGGUAACGGCCUACCAAGGCUAUGAUCGUUAGCUGGUCUGAGAGGAUGGCCAGCCACACUGGA
rnacentral:rRNA from 1 species